AUAUCAAUAAGCGGAGGAAAAGAAACCAACAGGGAUUGUCUUAGUAACGGCGAGUGAAGCGACAAAAGCUCAAAUUUGAAAUCUGGCACCUUCGGUGUCCGAGUUGUAAUUUGAAGAAGGUAACUUUGGAGUUGGCUCUUGUCUAUGUUCCUUGGAACAGGACGUCACAGAGGGUGAGAAUCCCGUGCGAUGAGAUGUCCAACUCUAUGUAAAGUGCUUUCGAAGAGUCGAGUUGUUUGGGAAUGCAGCUCUAAGUGGGUGGUAAAUUCCAUCUAAAGCUAAAUAUUGGCGAGAGACCGAUAGCGAACAAGUACAGUGAUGGAAAGAUGAAAAGAACUUUGAAAAGAGAGUGAAAAAGUACGUGAAAUUGUUGAAAGGGAAGGGUUUGAGAUCAGACUUGGUAUUUUGUAUGUCUUGCUUUCGGGUGGGGCCUCUGCAGUUUACUGGGCCAGCAUCGGUUUGGACGGUAGGAUAAUGACAUUGGAAUGUGGCACUACUUCGGUGGUGUGUUAUAGACUUUGUUGAUACUGCCUGUCUAGACCGAGGACUGCGUCUUUGACUAGGAUGCUGGCAUAAUGAUCCUAAACCGC
rnacentral:rRNA from 5 species